AUCUUUUUAGUAUAUAAAAUAUAUUUGACUUCCAAUCAAAAGAUCUUAAUAUUUAAGAAAAGAUA
rnacentral:tRNA from 2 species